AUUGAACGCUGGCGGCAGGCCUAACACAUGCAAGUCGAGCGAGCGGCGGACGGGUGAGUAAUGUAUGGGGACUGCCCGAUAGAGGGGGAUAACUACUGGAAACGGUGGCUAAUACCGCAUACUAUCGGAUAACCCAUAUGGGAUUAGCUAGUAGGUGGGGUAACGGCUCACCUAGGCGACGAUCUCUAGCGGGUCUGAGAGGAUGACCAGCCAAACUGGGACGGAGACACGGCCAAGACUCCUACGGAGGCAGCAGGGGGGAAUAUUGCACAAUGGGCGCAAGCCUGAUGCAGCCAUGCCGCGUGUAUGAAGAAGGCAUUAGGGUUGUAAAGUACUUUCAGCGGGGAGGCGUUACCCGCAGAAGAAGCACCGGCUAACUCCGUGCCAGCAGCCGCGGUAAUAC
rnacentral:rRNA from 1 species